AGAGACCCAAACGGCGCAAGAGAUACUUUUCUUCUUCUCCAACUAGUCGAUUCCAUCCUAACUCGCCUGAAAACUUGGAUAAGUUUAACUCAUACAGGCCCAUCUUCACCACGUCACCAAAGAUUCUAACCGAUUCUCACAGAUUUCCCCUUCCUCACAUACUUUCUCUUCAAUUUCUUUCGGACUUUUAGCCCUUCGAAUGGAAAUAAGAAAAAAUGGGGAGUAUUGGAUAGGAUUUGAUUUGAUCCACUCCCACCAUUUUUCCAUUUUUUCAUCAAAAGAAGGUAAAAUUUCAGAUUCGGGGCAAGAUAUUUUAUUGGGAGAUUUCUUGGAGAAGAGAGAAGAAGGUUCGAGAUUUUCUAGAGGCCUAUAUAAAGAGGGUUGAUAUUUUCAACAAAGGAGGAGGAAAAAUUGGGAAAAAACCUUCGAGACAGAUUUUUUUGAGGUCUUUUCGAAAGAAAAUUUUGAGAAAAAAACUUUAAGGUUAGGUCAAGUUACAACAUUCUUCGACUAUUUUUUUUAGUUAUGUUUUGGGAUAAAAGAUAUGCAAAUCCCUUCAGUUUCCUUGGAUUUCAAUAUCAGAAAAUACAAAAAUAUAGUCUUUCCUUCUAUUUCAAUCUGGGAAAUUUGGUUGUUAAAAUGGAUUUCAUUUGAAGCGUCUGGGAGUUUGUCAUUUGCAUUCGUGGUUUGUGGUUUUGUUUUUGAUUUCUACGGUUUAGAGCUGGCCGU
rnacentral:lncRNA from 1 species